UUUCAUUUGGUGGCGCUGUGGCUCCUGUGUGGCAGCACUGAUUGAAAGACUGGAAAUGGAGAGAAAUGCAAAACUCAAUCCUCUGGCAUCAGAUCCAGGACACUGCUGAACAGCUGAUCUGCCGUUAGCUGUGUAAAGCUCCCAGAGCCUAGCUGAAUUAAUCACAGCCACACGGACACGCGGGGGGCAGCCUGAGGAUGAGGACCGAGAGAAGGCUUGGGAAGAAACCAUGCUGUGAGAAAAGAGUCAGAGCUGUAACAUCCAUGGAUUGGAAGGGAAUACGCCGUUAGCCCAGUCUGCUUGCUCAUUACACGGCUGGAGUGUUUAGAAGUGGGGGUUUUUUUCAGACUGCAGACUGUUAUUCACUGUUGACAUCAGACUGCGUUCUGAAAUUAUCAAGUGAUUUACUGUCUUGUGAA